GUGAGUAUUCUUUUAUUUUUGACCUUUUGUCACCUUCAAAUUCUUAACAAUUUUUAUAACACAUAUACAAACAAUUCAAUUACAUAAAAUAUUCAACGAAAGACGACAUCGGGUAGCGUUCUGAGCUAGUCUUGGCGGCAGCAUCCAACAUUCUCCCCCCCCAGUGCACAGCGUAAACGAACACAGCUUCUAUCAUUUAAUGUACAUGAAAGUAAUACAAAAUAUUAUUAAUACAAAUUUUAAAUGAAUUAAAUAGUUGAAGUAAUUAUGUUUGAUGACAUGGGAUAUAGGCCCAGGUUGUGGUUCAUGAUUAUUCUAUUACAUUUCGAUACUCGAAAUAUAUUUGUCAUCUCGUAUUAAUAAUUAUAUGUCACUUAUUUUUAUUUGUUGUAUUGUUGUAUUUUCUCCGCGGUAAAUAUAAAUUAAAUAUUUGUUUUAACUGUGUUUCGUAUUAAUUUUUAAUUAUUUAUAAAGCUAAAACCAACUGGAUUUAUUUUAAAGAAUGACUUGACCUUGAAUUUGGUGGCUUAGAAGCUGAAGCUUGCCGACAGCCAUGGCUGUGAAUUAUUUUGGCCAAUUUAUGUUAUAUAUAUAUGUUAAAUGUUUUCGUUUGAAAUUCUAAAGGUCCGUUAUUGGUUUCGGUGUUUUUUUUUGUAAUUUAUUUUUGUUUUGAUUUAAUUUAUAAUUUUAUUCUUUUAUUGAUAGUAU